rnacentral:ribozyme from 1 species
UUUUUUUUUUUUUUUUUUUUUUUUUUUCC